rnacentral:rRNA from 1 species
CACAAGCGGUGGAUGAUUGUGGUUUAAUUCGAUGCAACGCGAAAACCUUACCCACCUUUGACAUGGCAGGAAUCCCGAAGAGAUUUGGGAGUGCUCGAAAGAGACCUGCACACAGGUGCUGCAUGGCUGUCGUCAGCUCGUGUCGUGAGAUGUUGGGUUAAGUCCCGCAACGAGCGCAACCCUUGCCAUUAGUUGCUACGAAAGGGCACUCUAAUGGGACUGCCGGUGACAAACCGGAGGAAGGUGGGGAUGACGUCAAAUCAUCAUGCCCCUUAUGUCUUGGGCUUCACGCAUGCUACAAUGGCCGGUACAAAGGGCUGCGAUACCGCGAGGUGGAGCGAAUCCCAGAAAGCCGGUCUCAGUUCGGAUUGGGGUCUGCAACUCGACCCCAUGAAGUCGGAGUCGCUAGUAAUCGCAGAUCAGCAACGCUGCGGUGAAUACGUUCCCGGGCCUU